ACUCUUAUCUGUUACUUUCCAUAGCAAGAGGCCAUCACAGCUCAAAUCAUGUCCGGCUACCAAGGAUUAAUUGACCAGGCCCAUCACAAAGCAAAGGAGACAGGUGAUCAUGUAGUGCAGGACUGUACCCAGAAAGGCCAACAAAUUGGACAAGACAUUGUCGACCAAGGAUGCCAGGCCGCUCAGAAGACCUGUGACCAAGUGACUGAUACAGUGACUACGCAGGCUAAAGACAAGCUUCCAGGAGGAAUAUGGAAAUAGACUUCAUUAUAGCUGUCACCAUAACCUUUUUAAUAAGAUCUGAAAUAUAAGCUAUCUUGACUUACUAAUGUUGCCUCUGUUUUUACCAUUCAUAAACAUUUAUCCUGUAGAGAA